AUGCACGCUGGCGGCGUGCCUAAUACAUGCAAGUCGAGCGAACAGACGAGGAGCUUGCUCCUCUGACGUUAGCGGCGGACGGGUGAGUAACACGUGGAUAACCUACCUAUAAGACUGGGAUAACUUCGGGAAACCGGAGCUAAUACCGGAUAAUAUAUUGAACCGCAUGGUUCAAUAGUGAAAGACGGUUUUGCUGUCACUUAUAGAUGGAUCCGCGCCGCAUUAGCUAGUUGGUAAGGUAACGGCUUACCAAGGCAACGAUGCGUAGCCGACCUGAGAGGGUGAUCGGCCACACUGGAACUGAGACACGGUCCAGACUCCUACGGGAGGCAGCAGUAGGAAAUCUUCCGCAAUGGGCGAAAGCCUGACGGAGCAACGCCGCGUGAGUGAUGAAGGUCUUCGGAUCGUAAAACUCUGUUAUUAGGGAAGAACAAAUGUGUAAGUAACUAUGCACGUCUUGACGGUACCUAAUCAGAAAGCCACGGCUAACUACGUG
rnacentral:rRNA from 1 species